UCUUGUGGCCAUUUAGGCAGAACCACUGAUUGAGAGACUCGCCUUACAUGAACUCAUUGAUCCUCGUCUUGGUGAGGCAUAUGACACAUAUGAAUUGUACCACAUGGCCAGAACAGCGUACUUAUGCGUGCAAAGCAACCCUGAGAUGCGCCCAUCAAUGGGAGAGGUUGUGCGCCUUCUCGAGGGGGAAAAUGACCAUUUUCAAAAUUUAGCAGAGCAAUUCAUACCUCAUUUUACGAAAUAAUGAACAGAAUAACAUUCUAUAUUUCCACUUUGCUACUGGAAUUGCAUGUUAGUGGAACCUCAACGAACUCAAGACAGCUUCGGCACUAACCGCACGCAUAUCAGCUCAAAACGUCUAGUUAUGCUUCACCUUUCUUUCCUCGUUUUUUUUUUUUUUUUUUUUUUUUUUUUGGUUGUAAAUCGCAUGGGGUUGAUUUUGUAAUAGAGAUGCACCAUAUCUGAAUAAGCACUACAUGGUUGGAACUUUUUUCAAUCAUAUUAGAAAAUCAAAAUAUAGUUAAAUCUUAGGUUUUCUAAAUUUUGAUGCCUAGAGUGUUCCUGUAAUGAUUUUCUUCCCCAUUUCAGUGAGGACAACAGUGAGGGGAGCUUAAAUUUUGAAAUGCCUGAUGUCCAUAUCGGGCAACAGAUGUGUUGUAAGCUGCAAACUCUCUGUUUGCAGUUGCACAAUACAGAGCAGUACAUUUUUUUCUCUAGAAAGAAAAGUUAUGUAGUUUGUACGACUCUUAUAAUAUUCUUC